rnacentral:lncRNA from 1 species
UUUUUUUUUUUUGAGCAAGAGAGAGAACAUGUGGACGAGCAGGGGAGGCGAGGGAGAGAAGAAGAGGAAGAGAGAAAACCUUAAGCAGGCUCCACAUCUAGUGUAGAGUCUAAUGUAAGGCUCUAUCCCACAACUCCUGAGAUCAUGACCCAGCCUAAAUGACUUUGAGUUUACUAAGAGGGUAGAUUUUAAGAGUUCUUAUUACAUGCAGACACACACACACACACACACACACAAAAUAAUAAUUGUGAGGUUGUGAGAUGAUAUAUAUGGCAAUUAGCUUGAUUGUGGUAAUUGCUUCACAAUGUACAUGUACAUCAAAGCAUCAAGUUGUAUACCUUAAAUAUAUACAAUUUUUGUCAAUUAUACCUCAAUAAACCUGAGCAGAAAGCCUCUAACUAUAACCUAGACUUUUUUUUCCCCUAAGAAAAAUAAACUUUCUACCCCUUUAAACAAACAAAACAAACAAACAAAAAACAAUGAACUAUCCCUUUUGUAGAGGUAGGAGGAGAAAGAGUAUUUUCCCAUAUUAGACCAUAAAUAAAAUCUAUUUCAAAUUGAUUUUCUUAAAAAAAAACAUACAAAUCGAAACUACAAACGUAUUAGAAAAUAGGAAAAAAAUUUCAUAAUGGGGAAAAAUAAAAACUGAAAUCAUACACAAAUGAAAUAAUAGCAUUUACUACCUUCAAAAUAUAAAUUCCUGUGAGCUGAAAGUGCCACAAACUUAAGAUACUGUGACAAGUGGGAAAAGACACAACUUAAAAGGCAAAUAAGACCAAGUAUUAAUACCACAGUGGCAGGCACUGCUGGUUAGUUAACCCAAAAUUCCUUAUCAAUGUCUUUUGACUUCUCCUGUCUCCAUUCCAGACAUUAUAAACUUUCUUGCAGAUUCUGGGAAAGCUGUAGCUUUCUGAUUUAAAAAGGAAAUAAGGGCAGAUGCCACUAGCACUACUAUUUUGUGAUCAAGAAGGAAAAGCCAAGACACUUUAUGGACACCCCAGUGCUGCCAAGACUGAGCCACAGACCAAAUGGCGGCCACCUCAUACUUCUAGGUUUCUCACUGUGUAAGAAAAACAAACUCUUAUUUGUUAAAGCCAUUGUGAAUCCAGUUCCCUGUUCCUUGCAGGGGUCACUUCCAAAUACUAUCAAUAAUAUGAGAGGCACAAGAGGAUUCACUAUGAUAAAGACAAACAACCCAACAGAGAAACAGGCAAAGGUCAGUAAUUUCCAGGAAAGGAGAAACAAACAAAUAUGCAUUAAACUUUCAAGGAUAAACUUGUAAGAAAGGCACAUUCAACAGGGAGAUCACAUUUUUCAGCUUUCAGAAUGACAAAAAUUUUAAAAAUGAGGAAUACAACAUCUGCUGUCACCAGAGUGUAAGGAAUCACUAUCCUUUGUCGAAUGCUAUUCCUUGGCAGGGCCAUUUUUUUUUUUUAAGAUUUUAUUUAUUUAUUCAUGAUAGUCACACAGAGAGAGACAGAGAGACAGAGACAUAGGCAGAGGGAGAAGCAGGCUCCAUGCAGGGAGCCCGACGUGGGAUUCGAUCCCGGGUCUCCAGGAUCGCGCCCCGGGCCAAAGGCAGGCACCAAACCGCUGCGCCACCCAGGGAUCCCAGCAGGGCCAUUUUGAAAGUCAAUGUUUCAGUAUCAUUUAGUCAAAAUUUUAAAUGAACUUUCC